rnacentral:misc_RNA from 1 species
AAUGUCAUAAUCAAGGUUUCUGUUAGGUGAACCACUGCAGAAGGAUCAUUAUUGAAUUGUUAAAAGUGGGAGGAGUUUCGACUCCCUCUACAUUUCUUUAUUCCUAACACCUGUGAAUUCGUUGCUGAUGUUCGCUCAGUAGCAACAUUUUUAUACACACAUAAUAGUUUAGAAACGUAAAACUAUAUAAGUAAAAGUACAAU